CAAAUAUCAUAAUUCUUUCCAUCUAGCUUAUCACCCCUGGUGACAUCAGCUAUGAUGGUUUUGGAAGUUAUUUCACUACAUUAAAAAAAAUAGGUUUGGACAUUAGACACAUAUUCCCAAAAAAAUUUAACAAGAUUGAAACAUUAUCCUCGACACAAAGGGAUCGAAAACUUCGCUAUGCUCGUAAUCAUCACCCAGUGUCAGUUCAAAAUAUUACAAUCUUAUUAAUUUUCUAUUAAUUUUGAAACUUAUCCAAAAAUUCUUCCAUUGUGAAAGAACACAUCUUUUUCUUGAAAAAUAUUUACAUAAAGAGAACUUAUCUCAUAAUAUCAUCACACAGAUAAAAAAAAAAGUAUUUAUGCCAAAAUUUAAUUUGAAAAACGUCGACGCUGCACAAAAACACAUUCUUUUACAUGGCCUUAAUUAAUACAUCACCAUUUGCGGAAUUAAAACCUACUACAUCACUACAAGAUGUACAUCAUAAGAGAAAUGAUCUACAGGAAUGCUGCACACAUCGAACCUGUUUUUCCAAAAUUAAAUUUUGUUAUAAAAUACCGAAAUAACAUAAGCACUUAUAUGCCAAAAAAAUAUACAAUCACAU
rnacentral:lncRNA from 1 species